rnacentral:rRNA from 1 species
UACGGGGGGGGUAAGCGUUGUUCGGAAUUACUGGGCGUAAAGGGCUCGUAGGCGGCCAACUAAGUCAGACGUGAAAUCCCUCAGCUUAACUGGGGAACUGCGUCUGAUACUGGAUGGCUUGGAUUCGGGAGAGGAAUGCGGAAUUCCAGGUGUAGCGGUGAAAUGCGUAGAUAUCUGGAGGAACACCGGUGGCGAAGGCGGCUCACUGGCUCAUUUCUGACGCUCAGGCGCGACAGCGUGGGGAUCAAACAGG